GCGGCUGUGGCGGAAUUGGCAGACGCGCUAGGUUGAGGGCCUAGUGUCCGUUAAGGACGUGGUGGUUCGAAUCCACUCAGCCGCA
rnacentral:tRNA from 1 species